rnacentral:rRNA from 1 species
GAUUAAGUUAUUAAGGGCGCACGGUGGAUGCCUUGGCACUAGAAGCCGAAGAAGGACGUUACUAACGACGAUAUGCUUUGGGGAGCUGUAAGUAAGCGUUGAUCCAGAGAUUUCCGAAUGGGGAAACCCAACAUGAGUUAUGUCAUGUUAUCGAUAUGUGAAUACAUAGCAUAUCAGAAGGCAGACCCGGAGAACUGAAACAUCUUAGUACCCGGAGGAAGAGAAAGAAAAAUCGAUUCCCUGAGUAGCGGCGAGCGAAACGAGAAGAGCCCAAACCAACAAGCUUGCUUGUUGGGGUUGUAGGACACUCUAUACGGAGUUACAAAAGUAUAUAUUAGACGAAUCAUCUGGAAAGUUGAAUCAAAGAAGGUAAUAAUCCUGUAGUCGAAAAUAUAUACUCUCUUGAGUGGAUCCUGAGUACGACGGAGCACGUGAAAUUCCGUCGGAAUCUGGGAGGACCAUCUCCUAAGGCUAAAUACUCUCUAGUGACCGAUAGUGAACCAGUACCGUGAGGGAAAGGUGAAAAGUACCCCGGAAGGGGAGUGAAAGAGAACUUGAAACCGUGUGCUUACAAGUAGUCAGAGCCCGUUAAUGGGUGAUGGCGUGCCUUUUGUAGAAUGAACCGGCGAGUUACGAUUUGAUGCAAGGUUAAGCAGUGAAUGUGGAGCCGUAGCGAAAGCGAGUCUGAAUAGGGCGUUGAGUAUUUGGUCGUAGACCCGAAACCAGGUGAUCUACCCUUGGUCAGGUUGAAGUUCAGGUAACACUGAAUGGAGGACCGAACCGACUUACGUUGAAAAGUGAGCGGAUGAACUGAGGGUAGCGGAGAAAUUCCAAUCGAACCUGGAGAUAGCUGGUUCUCUCCGAAAUAGCUUUAGGGCUAGCCUCAAGUGAUGAUUAUUGGAGGUAGAGCACUGUUUGGACGAGGGGCCCUUCUCGGGUUACCGAAUUCAGACAAACUCCGAAUGCCAAUCAAUUUAACUUGGGAGUCAGAACAUGGGUGAUAAGGUCCGUGUUCGAAAGGGAAACAGCCCAGACCACCAGCUAAGGUCCCAAAAUAUAUGUUAAGUGGAAAAGGAUGUGGCGUUGCCCAGACAACUAGGAUGUUGGCUUAGAAGCAGCCAUCAUUUAAAGAGUGCGUAAUAGCUCACUAGUCGAGUGACACUGCGCCGAAAAUGUACCGGGGCUAAACAUAUUACCGAAGCUGUGGAUUGUCCGUAGGACAAUGGUAGGAGAGCGUUCUAAGGGCGUUGAAGCAUGAUCGCAAGGACAUGUGGAGCGCUUAGAAGUGAGAAUGCCGGUGUGAGUAGCGAAAGACGGGUGAGAAUCCCGUCCACCGAUUGACUAAGGUUUCCAGAGGAAGGCUCGUCCGCUCUGGGUUAGUCGGGUCCUAAGCUGAGGCCGACAGGCGUAGGCGAUGGAUAACAGGUUGAUAUUCCUGUACCACCUAGUAUCGUUUUAAUCGAUGGGGGGACGCAGUAGGAUAGGCGAAGCGUGCUAUUGGAUUGCACGUCCAAGCAGUAAGACUGAGUGUUAGGCAAAUCCGGCACUCAUAAGGUCAAGCUGUGAUGGGGAGAGGAAAUUGUUUCCUCGAGUCGUUGAUUUCACACUGCCAAGAAAAGCCUCUAGAUAGAUAACAGGUGCCCGUACCGCAAACCGACACAGGUAGUCAAGAUGAGAAUUCUAAGGUGAGCGAGCGAACUCUCGUUAAGGAACUCGGCAAAAUGACCCCGUAACUUCGGGAGAAGGGGUGCUCUUUAGGGUUAACGCCCAGAAGAGCCGCAGUGAAUAGGCCCAAGCAACUGUUUAUCAAAAACACAGGUCUCUGCUAAACCGUAAGGUGAUGUAUAGGGGCUGACGCCUGCCCGGUGCUGGAAGGUUAAGAGGAGUAGUUAGCUUCUGCGAAGCUACGAAUCGAAGCCCCAGUAAACGGCGGCCGUAACUAUAACGGUCCUAAGGUAGCGAAAUUCCUUGUCGGGUAAGUUCCGACCCGCACGAAAGGCGUAACGAUUUGGGCACUGUCUCAACGAGAGACUCGGUGAAAUCAUAGUACCUGUGAAGAUGCAGGUUACCCGCGACAGGACGGAAAGACCCCGUGGAGCUUUACUGUAGCCUGAUAUUGAAAUUCGGCACAGCUUGUACAGGAUAGGUAGGAGCCUUUGAAACGUGAGCGCUAGCUUACGUGGAGGCAUUGGUGGGAUACUACCCUAGCUGUGUUGGCUUUCUAACCCGCACCACUUAUCGUGGUGGGAGACAGUGUCAGGUGGGCAGUUUGACUGGGGCGGUCGCCUCCUAAAAGGUAACGGAGGCGCUCAAAGGUUCCCUCAGAAUGGUUGGAAAUCAUUCAUAGAGUGUAAAGGCAUAAGGGAGCUUGACUGCGAGACUUACAAGUCGAGCAGGGUCGAAAGACGGACUUAGUGAUCCGGUGGUUCCGCAUGGAAGGGCCAUCGCUCAACGGAUAAAAGCUACCCCGGGGAUAACAGGCUUAUCUCCCCCAAGAGUUCACAUCGACGGGGAGGUUUGGCACCUCGAUGUCGGCUCAUCGCAUCCUGGGGCUGUAGUCGGUCCCAAGGGUUGGGCUGUUCGCCCAUUAAAGCGGUACGCGAGCUGGGUUCAGAACGUCGUGAGACAGUUCGGUCCCUAUCCGUCGUGGGCGUAGGAAAUUUGAGAGGAGCUGUCCUUAGUACGAGAGGACCGGGAUGGACAUACCUCUGGUGUACCAGUUGUCGUGCCAACGGCAUAGCUGGGUAGCUAUGUAUGGACGGGAUAAGUGCUGAAAGCAUCUAAGCAUGAAGCCCCCCUCAAGAUGAGAUUUCCCAACUUCGGUUAUAAGAUCCCUCAAAGAUGAUGAGGUUAAUAGGUUCGAGGUGGAAGCGUGGUGACACGUGGAGCUGACGAAUACUAAUCGAUCGAAGACUUAAUCAA